UACGGAGGAUCCAAGCGUUAUCCGGAAUCAUUGGGUUUAAAGGGUCCGUAGGCGGUUUAGUAAGUCAGUGGUGAAAGCCCAUCGCUCAACGGUGGAACGGCCAUUGAUACUGCUGAACUUGAAUUAUUAGGAAGUAACUAGAAUAUGUAGUGUAGCGGUGAAAUGCUUAGAGAUUACAUGGAAUACCAAUUGCGAAGGCAGGUUACUACUAAUGGAUUGACGCUGAUGGACGAAAGCGUGAGUAGCGAACAGG
rnacentral:rRNA from 1 species